rnacentral:rRNA from 1 species
ACCAGAAAGCCACGGCUAACUACGUGCCAGCAGCCGCGGUAAUACGUAGGUGGCAAGCGUUGUCCGGAUUUAUUGGGCGUAAAGCGAGCGCAGGCGGUUUUUUAGGUCUGAUGUGAAAGCCUUCGGCUUAACCGGAGAAGUGCAUCGGAAACCGGGAGACUUGAGUGCAGAAGAGGACAGUGGAACUCCAUGUGUAGCGGUGAAAUGCGUAGAUAUAUGGAAGAACACCAGUGGCGAAGGCGGCUGUCUGGUCUGUAACUGACGCUGAGGCUCGAAAGCAUGGGUAGCGAACAGGAUUAGAUACCCUGGUAGUCCAUGCCGUAAACGAUGAGUGCUAAGUGUUGGAGGGUUUCCGCCCUUCAGUGCUGCAGCUAACGCAUUAAGCACUCCGCCUGGGGAGUACGACCGCAAGGUUGAAACUCAAAGGAAUUGACGGGGGCCCGCACAAGCGGUGGAGCAUGUGGUUUAAUUCGAUGCUACGCGAAGAACCUUACCAGGUCUUGACAUCUUCUGCCAACCUAAGAGAUUAGGCGUUCCCUUCGGGGACAGAAUGACAGGUGGUGCAUGGUUGUCGUCAGCUCGUGUCGUGAGAUGUUGGGUUAAGUCCCGCAACGAGCGCAACCCUUAUUGUUAGUUGCCAGCAUUCAGUUGGGCACUCUAGCAAGACUGCCGGUGACAAACCGGAGGAAGGUGGGGAUGACGUCAAAUCAUCAUGCCCCUUAUGACCUGGGCUACACACGUGCUACAAUGGACGGUACAACGAGUCGCGAAACCGCGAGGUCAAGCUAAUCUCUUAAAGCCGUUCUCAGUUCGGAUUGUAGGCUGCAACUCGCCUACAUGAAGUUGGAAUCGCUAGUAAUCGUGGAUCAGCAUGCCACGGUGAAUACGUUCCCGGGCCUUGUACACACCGCCCGUCACACCAUGAGAGUUUGUAACACCCAAAGCCGGUGAGGUAACCUUCGGGGACCAGCCGUCUAAGGUGGGACAGAUGAUUAGGGUGAAGUCGUAACAAGGUAGCCGUAGGAGAACCUGCGGCUGGAUCACCUCCUUUCUA